CACACAGUAAGGUUUUAUACAAUUGAGCAAAAGGUCAGAAGCAAAACAAGGCUGGAAUGCAGACAAGGUCAAACGAACUGGCAAAGAACAGAGAAACAUGCAAGGCUUAAAUAACAAGGUGUGAUUAAUAAAAAUGAAAACAGGUGCAUGAGAA